UGGGUAGCAAAACGAAUGCCAAUAUCAAAAAAUAAAUUGCAUGGUCACUGGGUUGGAAGAUACCAUUUGCUGAAGCUGCCUGUAUGCAUCGCCCUGACGUGUACGCAAGCCCAAUAAAGUUUAUGCACUCCAAGGUCAUCUACCUAAACUUAUCUACGAUGGAGUAUCCUGAUAUAAAUUGCAUUAAAGAAUAUCGAGUAACGUGGAACCACAGUGCUCGGUUAAUGACUAAGAUGAUGUGGAUCGGCUCCUCAACUGGGAAUUGGACGGUUGGCAAAAAGGCUGGGAUGUUUGAUGUGUA
rnacentral:lncRNA from 1 species